UUACACAAUGCCAUAAAAAUUUUCUCUUCCGUGUUCACCUCUCUUCAUUUCGGAAAUACCGUCUUCAUGACUGUGGUUUGAUCUCUCUCUCUGACUGCCUUCAUCUCGCCUCUCAUCUGUGUUCGAAAUCGAAGCCUCAAUCCUUGAUGGCUGGCUGCUUGGCAAUUUGAUUCAGGAUAUUGUACUAUUUUUCUUGGUUGACUCUAAGCAAGUAUUUGAGGUUUGCUGAAGCUGAUGUCUCACAAGCUUCAGGAGAAAACAAUGAGUUUCACCCCAGAAAGUUAAGUGUCAGCAUUGAUGUUCCUGGGAAAGAUACAUAUCAUUUUAGGCCUCACUAAGAGAUGGCUGCUUCGUACAGAACCCAAUCCGCUAAGAGAUGGCUUCCUUUUGAAGCUAAUCCAGAUGUUAUGAACCAGAAAUAACUCAAUGGAGUCGGAAAUUGGAAGGACAAGAUGUGCAGGUGUUUCUUUGUGCUAGCUGCUCUCAAGUUCCCUCCACACAAGUGGCCUAUAGAAGCAAAUAUAUGUGCAUAUCAAUUUCUUGUUAGGAGCCACAAAACAAAAUAAUGUAUCGUUGUUUUCUCUGUGUGCCAACUACAGAGACUGAUCUACACCUAAUGAUUUUUGAGUAAAUAUGUGUAAAUCUCAUGCUUGUCAAUGACAAUUUGUGAAAUAGUUAGUCAUGAUUCUUAGAAUAAGAGUAUUAUCUACCUUGUAAUAAACCUUCUCUUCACUCCGGCGGUCUGGCCAUACUCUUUGCUAUCAUCACCUAGAACCUAUCUUGUACAUGUCUAGGAACUAGUAAUAUGCGUACCUCCACUUCGUCACAAGCACUAAAGGGCCAGAAACUCUCCAAAAUCCUAUUUUGAACCCAAAUGCAACAGAAACAUAAAACCAUGGAAAUUGAUGCUCCAUCUCUGCAUCUUAGGUGUUCAUAUCAGGUGCGUCAAUCCCUUAGCUGUCUGACACUUUUGGAAGUGUGGCACCAGAGAGUUUCAGAUCUUCCUUAAACGCAGAAACACUGAAACUUUGGAGAUAAGUACUUGAUGAGUUGGAUGGGUCAAGUGGUGGGAUAGAGAUGGAUAAUGAUGUAGAAAAAGAAUAUCAUGGUCAUGGU
rnacentral:lncRNA from 1 species